rnacentral:tRNA from 1 species
GAAGGUAUAGCUCAGGUGGUAGAGCACAUGCUUAGCAUGUACAAGGUCCUGGGUUCAACCCCUAGUGCCUCCA